UGCUAGGCAAGGAACAGGUUGCAAGGACCAGGGACAAUGAUAUUGUUGAUCACCAAAGACCUCAAUGUCUUCCAUCUCUGAAUUAUUCACUCCUUCCUCGGUCCUGCUCUCAUUGGAUGGAGAAAGAUGAGGAAACCGAGGCUCAGAAUACCAACUAACACCAUCGGCAGAGCUGGAGCUGAAACCCAGU
rnacentral:lncRNA from 1 species